AUUCCAUUCAUUGUUUUAAGAUAUUUUUAAUGUUUUUGGAUUUUGUAUAAAAAUCCCGUUUAUGCAUAGAUAUGUAUUGACUUUUUAUAUAUUGAUUAAUAAAGCUACGUUGAGAUUGUUCUCCCAUAUGUGAAUCACUAAUGAAUUUAACAUUUGAAAGACAUGAAUUUUUAUCUAAUCAAUAAUAAGUCUCAUAUAUUAAAGAAAAACAAAACAAAUCAAAUCAAAAAUAGUCUUUUAUCUAAUCAAUUUUUCUCUAACCAACUUGACAGAUGUUAUGCUAACUAAAAGUCUCAAAUCUAUAAAAACAAAACAAAACAAAAGAAGACGUACCGUUGAAAGUGUAUCACUUCUGUCACUUUUUCCCGACAGCUCGUAGUGCACUUUCAUCACAGAUCUACAGAGUAAUUUACAACAAAUCUUUUAAGAAUAUAUAUAUAU
rnacentral:sRNA from 1 species